rnacentral:siRNA from 1 species
AUCAUCGCCUUGCGUCUCAUCAAC